UACGUAGGGUGCGAGCGUUAAUCGGAAUUACUGGGCGUAAAGCGUGCGCAGGCGGUUUGCUAAGACCGAUGUGAAAUCCCCGGGCUCAACCUGGGAACUGCAUUGGUGACUGGCAGGCUAGAGUAUGGCAGAGGGGGGUAGAAUUCCACGUGUAGCAGUGAAAUGCGUAGAGAUGUGGAGGAAUACCGAUGGCGAAGGCAGCCCCCCUGGGCCAAUACUGACGCUCAUGCACGAAAGCGUGGGGGAGCAAACAGGAUUAGAUACCCUGGUAGUCCACGCCCUAAACGAUGUCAACUAGUUGUUGGGGAUUCAUUUCCUUAGUAACGUAGCUAACGCGUGAAGUUGACCGCCUGGGGAGUACGGUCGCAAGAUUAAAACUCA
rnacentral:rRNA from 1 species